rnacentral:rRNA from 1 species
AUACGGAGGAUGCGAGCGUUAUCCGGAUUUAUUGGGUUUAAAGGGUGCGUAGGCGGACGUUCAAGUCGGCGGUCAAAUGGGCGGGCUCAACCCGUUCUCGCCGUCGAAACUGGGCGACUGGAGUGGGAGAGAGGCAUGCGGAAUGCGCGGUGUAGCGGUGAAAUGCAUAGAUAUCGCGCAGAACUCCGAUCGCGAAGGCAGCGUGCCGGCUCCUUACUGACGCUGAAGCACGAAAGCGUGGGGAUCGAACAGGAUUAGAUACCCUGGUAGUCCACGCAGUAAACGAUGAGCACUAGGUGUGCGGCCGGUCAGGCUGCGUGCCACAGCGAAAGCGUUAAGUGCUCCACCUGGGGAGUACGCCGGCAACGGUGAAACUCAAAUGAAUUGACGGGG